rnacentral:rRNA from 1 species
AUUGAACGCUGGCGGCAGGCCUAACACAUGCAAGUCGAGCGGAUGAAGGGAGCUUGCUCCUGGAUUCAGCGGCGGACGGGUGAGUAAUGCCUAGGAAUCUGCCUGGUAGUGGGGGAUAACGUCCGGAAACGGGCGCUAAUACCGCAUACGUCCUGAGGGAGAAAGUGGGGGAUCUUCGGACCUCACGGUCUCAGAUGAGCCUAGGUCGGAUUAGCUAGUUGGUGGGGUAGUGGCCUACCAAGGCGUCGAUCCGUAGCUGGUCUGAGAGGAUGAUCAGUCACAUUGGGACUGAGAUACGGCCCAGACUCCUACGGUAGGCAGUAGUGGGGAAUAUUGCACAAUGGGCGGAAGCGUGAUGCAGCGACGCCGCGUGCGGGAUGACGGCCUUCGGGUGGUAAACCGCUGUCGCCUGUGACGAAGCGGGAGUGACGGUAAUGGGUAAAGAAGCACCGGCUAACUACGUG